rnacentral:rRNA from 1 species
GACGAACGCUGGCGGCGUGCUUAACACAUGCAAGUCGAGCGGUAAGGCCCUUUCGGGGGUACGACGAGCGGCGAACGGGUGAGUAACACGUGGGUGACCUGCCCUCAGCUCUGGGAUAAGCCUGGGAAACUGGGUCUAAUACUGGAUAUGACUCCACGGUGCAUGUCGUGGGGUGGAAAGCCUUGUGCGGCUGAGGAUGGGCCCGCGGCCUAUCAGCUUGUUGGUGGGGUGAGGCCUACCAAGGCGACGACGGGUAGCCGGCCUGAGAGGGCGACCGGCCACACUGGGACUGAGACACGGCCCAGACUCCUACGGGAGGCAGCAGUGGGGAAUCUUGCGCAAUGGGCGAAAAGCCUGACGCAGCGACGCCGCGUGAGGGCUGACGGCCU